rnacentral:pre_miRNA from 37 species
AGAGGCUCCACUCCGUCUGCCCAGUGUUCAGACUACCUGUUCAGGACUACGAGAUUGUACAGUAGUCUGCACAUUGGUUAGGCUGUGCUGGGAUACACC